AUGGAGCGCCCGCCCCCUCCUACAGGUACUGCGCAUGUGCAAGUGGCGCGCCGUGGGCCUGGCGCAGGCGCAGGCGCAGACGUGGCUCCUUCACAUAAAUUUUUCCUUGGGCUGGUUUCCUGCAUGUCUUCUAAGUAUUUGCUUUUAGUUUCCGUGUUUUGGUGUUUUGUUUGUUCGUUUUUUUUUGUUUUGUUUUUACGACAAUGCCUUCUAGGGGAACAGUGUCGCUGGGCUGGGCGGUGGAGAGACACCUUUGGCACCAUCGUGCGAUCUCAUGCACCCUACCAGUGGAAAAUCCAUUUGGGAUUGCCCAGUGCACACAGUAGACAUGGAAAUUGAUGAUCAGCAUCCCCAGAUACUGUCAUGUCUGAAUGGUAGUCCUGAGAUUGCGGCAGCCCUCACAUGAUGAGCCAGAGGAGGAAGCCUCAUGUGAAAGAAAGCAGGACCCACAGCCAUAGUUGCACAGAUCUAUUCAAGCCACGCUGAUCACUGCGCUAACCUGUGGAUUUGUUUGGUUACAGCAGUGAGUUUUCAGUUACUUGCAGCCUAACACAUGUGUUGCUUGAGGUUUAGCUUUUCUGGAUCACCCUUUUUCUUAGCCCUCCACUCCCAGUCCAAGGUGGCAAUAGAGAAUGUCAGCCUACCUCCCAUCACUCCCUUGCCUUCCGCUCCUCACUUUGAGUGGGCUCUUUCCCUCACUCGAUUCUUUUUUGGCCUCCUAUCCUGGUGACCUGUAAUGAAGAGGAGUCCUCAUAAUUAAUCAUUUGGACCAACCAUGACUUUAGCUCUGAGGUUUGUGUAGAGCCCAGCCCUUCCAUGGGGAACCUAGUGUGGAUGCCCUAGCCUUUCCCAGAAAAUCACCCUUUGAGCACUUCUCAGUUUGCUUGACAAGUUCAAAGUCAUGAGCGUUUUUGAGGUAGAGUGGAGAGGACUCCACCAGACUAUUUCCCCCUAGGAUGCUGAGAGAGUGAGAAAGAGGGUUGGUGCAUACUCAACUGAAAGGAGAUGUAAAGGACAACCGUGUGCUCUUCCAGAUCCCCAUGCUCUGCUCUUUUUCAC
rnacentral:lncRNA from 1 species